GAAGACUAUUUUUCGUUUUGAUGUCAUCGAAAAGGGAGCUCUACUACAGCUAGAAGUUGAAGGCACGGGCUUCUUGUAUAGACAAGUGCGAAACAUGGUUGCUUUGCUCCUCCAAAUUGGUAAGGAAGCAAUUCCUCCCGAAAUUGUCCCCAAGAUUUUGGAGACUCGUGAUCGCAAGGAGCUGGCCAAAUACACUUUGCCUUCACCAC
rnacentral:misc_RNA from 1 species